rnacentral:rRNA from 1 species
AUUGAACGCUGGCGGCAGGCCUAACACAUGCAAGUCGAGCGGAGCGGCGGACGGGGAAGUAAUGACUAGGAAUCUGCCUGGUAGUGGGGGAUAAAGUACGGAAACGGGCGCUAAUACCACAGACUAUCAGAUGAGCCUAGGGCGGAUUAGCUUUUUGGUGGGGUAAAGGCCUACCAAGGCGACGAUCCGUAGCUGGUCCGAGAGGAUGAUCAGUCACACUGGAACUGAGACACGGUCCAGACUCCUACGGGAGGCAGCAGUGGGGAAUAUUGGACAAUGGGCGAAAGCCUGAUCCAGCCAUGCCGCGUGUAUGAAGAAGGCCUUCGGUUUGUAAAGUACUUUCAGCGGGGAGGCGUUACCCGCAGAAGAAGCACCGGCUAACUCCGUGCCAGCAGCCGCGGUAAUUC